GCCUAGAACCUGAAAAUUAUUAGAAAAUACUGGAAGAGUCUGUACAUGAUGUCUGUACAUGAUUUGUGAACUAUCUUUGAAAGGGCACUUUUUCUAGCUGCUGCUACUGCUGCAAAAAACCAACCCCAUUGCAAUGAUAAGCAUAAGCAUGAAUUUCUCCAAAGCGCUUAACUUUAAUCUAUUUGAUAUCAUCCAGAAUUCCAGAGGAUUUCAGCUCAGAUUAAAAAUCUUUUUUUACCAUGAAAAGUCAUGCAAAUUGAUAAGUGGGUCUUACAACAUCCUGCCUAGGAUGACCAAGUCAUGCACAUGGUAGAGUUUAUCACGUAUCUCACACAAAGCAAGGCAAUGCUUGAUAAGCACUUUUAUUGGGUAAUUACAUUUUUUUUUUGUACAUUUGCAAAUAAAGCAGAUUGAUUUCCAUCUUGAAGUAAUUUACUAACACAUUAUAAACUCGUCAAACGCUAACGUGGUGCAGCAUGCCAUUUCCUGUUUACUAAGUAAUCCUUUGGCUGUCUGCUUUGUGUCUUUCAGGUUGAACCUGGAGCUGUUCUCUGCCAGGGACGUCAUGGAGCCUGGAGUCAGAGCCCCCCACCUGAAGGAAAACAUUGCCUCCUUGGCUUGGCUCCUUGCAAAUACAAGCCAUGGCCGAUUCCCAGAGGUUUGCAUGCCCAAGCCAGAACGUGCAGAGGUGUUCCAGGGAACUAUUAAAGAUAACAGCAGAGAAGCUGCCCAGUCUGUCGCGCCCAACCAUGCUGCUGAAUCGCUACGCUACAGAUCCCUGGUAUCAGCAACUCUUCAUCAAUCUGAACCUGCGGAACCAAGUGUUUGGAGUGAUCAGCAGGAAGGACUUGAUGCCUUUCCUGCUGGAGGAGAAGCUCAGGCUGGCACCACAGAGCCCUGA
rnacentral:lncRNA from 1 species